AUUCCAGCUCCAAUAGCGUAUAUUUAAGUUGUUGCAGUUAAAAAGCUCGUAGUUGGAUUUCGGUUAAGAGCGACCGGUCCGCCGUUUGGUGUGCACUGGUUGGUUCUAACUUCCUGUAGAGGACGUGCUCUGGGCUUAACGGUCUGGACUCGGAGUCUACGUGGUUACUUUGAAAAAAUUAGAGUGUUCAAAGCGGGCCUACGCCUGAAUAUUCGUGCAUGGAAUAAUAGAAUAGGAAGUCGUUUCUAUUUUGUUGGUUUUCGGAAAUCGACUUAAUGAUUAGUAGGGACAGUCGGGGGCAUUUGUAUUCAAACGACGGAGGUGAAAUUCUUGGACCGUUUGAAGACGAACCACUGCGAAAGCAUUUGCCAGGGAUGUUUUCAUUA
rnacentral:rRNA from 1 species